GUAAAUAUAGCUUAUUUAAAGCAUUGAUUUUGUAAAUCAAAGAUGAUCUUACUAUUUAUA
rnacentral:tRNA from 1 species